rnacentral:lncRNA from 1 species
CGUUUGGAUCGCGGGAUAAGCGGGGAUAACGAAAGUUAUCCCCGCUAUUCCGCCAAACGGAGUGAAAUUUGGCCGGGAUAUUUUAUCCCGGUCAAACCUUGUUAUUCUCGGUUAUCCCGGAAUAGCAAGGGAUUAGCUAUUCCACCAUUUUGGUGGAAUAGUGUUAUUCCAAUGCUUAAUUUCAAACUUAAUUAAACUUAUAAAUUGAAUUAAACUAAAUUAUAUAAAUAUAAUAUGUUAUAUAUUAUAAUACAUUAUUUUUAUUAUAAAAUUAUUAAUUGUACUAUAUUAAUACAUAUUAUUUAUAUUUAAAUAUUAUAAUAAAAUUUAUAAAAAAUUAUAUUUAAAUAAUAUAAUAAAUUCUUUUUAUGAAAUUUAAAUUUAAGUAGAAUUUUUAAAAAAUUUAU